UCUGAUUCUGAUGUGGUACUGGUUUAUAAACCUGACUUUGUUGGUUUUUUGGUGAUUCCUCUGAUUGUUUUAAGGAUAGCCUCUAAAUUUCUUUUUCUUUUAUGUCUGCCAUUGGUCUUCUUGCAUUUUUUGUUGAUACUGAUGAGUUCUUGCUAGCUAUUCUUUGGUACCUGAAACACUAACAGAAAUAUUAUUCUUAACAGACUGAGAUUUAAUUAGUAGAGUAGUUACCUGAGUGUCAUUUGCUUGGGUUAUUUUGUUUUGUUCUUGUUUGCUGCUUCCACCUCCUCUCUUCUUCUAUAUUCAUCAU
rnacentral:lncRNA from 1 species